UUUAGGAGUAAGCUAUAUAAAGCUAAAGGAUUCAUAUUCCUUUGAAUUUUUCCUAA
rnacentral:tRNA from 1 species